UACAGAGGUCCCAAGCGUUGUUCGGAAUUAUUGGGCGUAAAGGGUGCGUAGGCGGUUUGGUAAGUCUCUUGUGAAAUCUAUGGGCUCAACUCAUAGUCUGCAAGGGAAACUGCCGGGCUUGAGUGUGGGAGAGGUGAGUGGAAUUUCCGGUGUAGCGGUGAAAUGCGUAGAUAUCGGAAGGAACACCGGUGGCGAAGGCGGUUCUCUGGGCCUGUUCUGACGCUGAGGAGCGAAAGCGUGGGGAGCGAACAGG
rnacentral:rRNA from 1 species